GACGAACGCUGGCGGCGUGCUUAACACAUGCAAGUCGAACGGAAAGGCCCUGCUUUUGUGGGGUGCUCGAGUGGCGAACGGGUGAGUAACAAGUGAGUAACCUGCCCUUGACUUUGGGAUAACUUCAGGAAACUGGGGCUAAUACCGGAUAGGAGCUCCUGCUGCAUGGUGGGGGUUGGAAAGUUUCGGCGGUUGGGGAUGGACUCGCGGCUUAUCAGCCUGUUGGUGGGGUAGUGGCAUACCAAGGCUUUGACGGGUAGACGGCCUGAGAGGGUGACCGGCCACAUUGGGACUGAGAUACGGCCCAGACUCCUACGGGAGGCAGCAGUGGGGAAUAUUGCACAAUAAGCGGAAGCCUGAUGCAGCAACGCCGCGUGCGAGAUGACGGCCUUCGGGUUGUAAACCGCUUUCGCCUGUGACGAAGCGUGAGUGACGGUAAUGGGUAAAGAAGCACCGGCUAACUACGUG
rnacentral:rRNA from 1 species